GUGUGUGUGUGUGUGUGUGUGUGUGUGUGUGUGUGUGUGUAUAUAUAUAUAUAUAUAUAUAUACGCGCAUGCACACACACACUGACACACAUACACAG
rnacentral:miRNA from 1 species